rnacentral:rRNA from 1 species
GAUGAACGCUGGCGGCGUGCUUAACACAUGCAAGUCGAACGAAGCACCUCUCCCGAAGAUUGACACAGCUUGCUGUAGAUUGAUUCAUUUGAGGUGACUGAGUGGCGGACGGGUGAGUAACGCGUGGGUAACCUGCCUCAUAGAGGGGGACAACAGUUGGAAACGACUGCCAAUACCGCAUAGUAAGAAGAAUUCGCAUGUUUUCUUCUUGAAAGAUUUAUCGCUAUGAGAUGGACCCGCGUCUGAUUAGCUAGUUGGUAAGGUAACGGCUUACCAAGGCGACGAUCAGUAGCCGGCUUGAGAGAGUGAACGGCCACAUUGGGACUGAGACACGGCCCAAACUCCUACGGGAGGCAGCAGUGGGGAAUAUUGCACAAUGGGGGAAACCCUGAUGCAGCGACGCCGCGUGAGUGAAGAAGUAUUUCGGUAUGUAAAGCUCUAUCAGCAGGGAAGAUAAUGACGGUACCUGACUAAGAAGCCCCGGCUAACUACGUG